AGCAGUAGCCGCGGUAAAACGUAGGUCCCGAGCGUUGACCGGAUUUAUUGGGCGUAAAGCGAGCGCAGGCGGUUUGAUAAGUCUGAAGUUAAAGGCUGUGGCUCAACCAUAGUUCGCUUUGGAAACUGUCAAACUUGAGUGCAGAAGGGGAGAGUGGAAUUCCAUGUGUAGCGGUGAAAUGCGUAGAUAUAUGGAGGAACACCGGUGGCGAAAGCGGCUCUCUGGUCUGUAACUGACGCUGAGGCUCGAAAGCGUGGGGAGCGAACAGGAUUAGAUACCCCCGUAGUCCCUGUCUCUUAUACA
rnacentral:rRNA from 1 species